GAGGAAUAUUGGUCAAUGGAGGCAACUCUGAACCAGCCAUGCCGCGUGCAGGAAGACUGCCCUAUGGGUUGUAAACUGCUUUUAUACAGGAAGAAACUUAUCCACGUGUGGAUAACUGACGGUACUGUACGAA
rnacentral:rRNA from 1 species